CGGACGAGACAACCCACCCCUUGUUGCGGCGCUCUGAAGAUACAGUAGUAGGAGGAGAAGAGGUAGAGUAGCGAGAGAACAAAAGUAAACAAAGAAAGAAAGAAAUGAAGUAAGAUGUUGAUGGGAUCGCACCAGCAACGACAACAGCGACGACAUCAGCCGCAGCAGCAGCAACAGCAGCAGCAGCAGCAAAAUCCCAAUCAUCACUAACUGAACCCCCAAAUUACAUCAAUUAGAGUGAGACAUCAUCCCCCAAACCCCCAUUUUCCUCUUUGCUCUUCCUCAUCUCAUCUCAUCCCUUCUCAUCCGUGUUAGUUGUGCUACUGCUAUUAUUCAUAUUCCAUCAACCAUCCCAUUCUACUCCCAUCUCAUGUCUCCAGCUCUGUAUUUCCCUCACGUUUCACCCUUCUCCUUCCUCUAGUUGCUACUAUUUCAGAGCUCAGAAUGACUCGGUUGAAGCUUUAACGGUGGAACGGGAAAAUAUACAAAAGGAAACCCUAGUGGAGUUGUUACUUCUUGGUCUGAUUUCACAGCCAUCUAUGAAUGAAUUGAUGAGAGAAGAAGACAAGCGGAUGAUGAUGAUGAUGGGUCAUAGAUCAUAAACGAAAAUGACUACUAUUAUAUUUCAUACAACAACAAUGACAGAGAAGAUGAUGAUGAGAUUGCGACAUUGUUGAUAUUGAGAUUUGACAUAUGGGGAGGCCAAUGGCAGCUAUCGCCAAGCAGCAUAAAACCACGGCCGCCAAGAAAUUGCUGUUGCCCUGCAUAAUAGGCCUACUGGGUUUUGCUCUAAUUGCAGAUCUACUUUGGGCCGCCUCUUCUCCUUCUCCUGCCUCCUCCUCCUCCUCCUCCGCGCACUUCAUCGUCAUCUCCCAUUCUCCCUUCCCCAAUCACACCCAUUCCGCUCCCGCUCCCUUCAAGGACAAGGACGCUGCCAACAAACAUGUAAAGACCAAUCAGAGGUUACUAUCAGCUACCUUUUCUGAUUUGCCAGCUCCCCUCUUGGAAUGGGAGAAGAUGGCCCCUGCCCCUGUCCCUCGUCUUGACGGUGCUGCCAUUCAGAUCGGCCAUCUGCUUUAUGUCUUUGCCGGAUACGGAACCAUUGAUUAUGUGCAUUCUCAUGUGGACAUUUACAACUUUACCAACAAUACAUGGGGAGGAAGGUUUGAUAUGCCUAAAGAGAUGGCCCAUUCACAUUUGGGUAUGGUAACAGAUGGGAGGUAUAUUUAUGUAGUUACUGGGCAAUAUGGCCCUCAGUGUAGAGGGCCUACUGCACGAACAUUUGUGCUUGACACACAGACGAAGCAGUGGAGCAACAUGCCUCCUCUACCUCUCCCUAGGUAUGCACCUGCAACUCAACUCUGGAGGGAAAGACUACAUGUGAUGGGUGGCAGCAAAGAGAAUCGUCAUACACCUGGAUUAGAGCAUUGGAGUAUUGCGGUAAAAGAUGGCAAAGCUUUAGAGGAGGAGUGGCGGACUGAGGUUCCCAUACCCCGUGGUGGACCUCACAGGGCUUGUGUUGUGGUUGAUGAUCAAUUGUAUGUCAUAGGCGGUCAAGAGGGUGAUUUUAUGGGAAAGCCUGGGUCUCCUAUUUUUAAGUGCUCUCGCAGGAAUGAGGUUGUCUAUGGUGAUGUUUACAUGCUGGAUGAUGAUAUGAAGUGGAAGGUCUUACCGCCUAUGCCAAAGCCUGAUUCACACAUAGAGUUUGCUUGGAAAAUUGUGAAUAAUUCAAUCAUUAUUGUUGGAGGCACAACAGAGAAGCACCCUGAAACAAAGAAGAUGACGCUUGUUGGAGAAGUAUUCCAGUUUCAGUUAGAUACACUGAAAUGGUCAGUCGUGGGAAAGCUUCCUUAUCGAGUGAAAACUACUCUUGUUGGCUUUUGGAAUGGAUGGUUGUACUUCACUUCUGGACAACGAGACAGGGGACCUGAUGAUCCAGCACCAAGGAAGGUCAUUGGGGAAAUGUGGAGAACUAGGUUACACUUAUGAGUUAUUUUUUUGCCAGUUAUUUGAAUGUAUUCAGGAUAUCUGCAUUUUUUCUUUUUGGUCAGUUUAGAAGGCAGGUUGUAGUGGUAAUGAUUUGUUUACAUCGUUUGGAGGAAAUGGAAAAGGGGAUGGGAAUUGUGGGAAGGAUUAGUUCCAUUUUUUGAUUACUUUUGUAUCUUUGCUGGUAUGAGAUCGAUAUGUAGGAUUGAUGGUUCUUCAAGAGGGGCACACACAGGCAUGACUUGGUUCACCGGGAUUCAUGAACUUGUGUGUAGUGCUCCCGAGAAGAUGUCAAGUGAACGUUGUAUGAUACUGGAACUUUUGAUUGUCAAAGUUCAUUUCACUUGUUAGAAUUGCUUCCUCAAUAGUGUUCUAAAUCAUAUAGUUGGCACACAUAUGUUUAUGCUCUAAUGAUUUCGCUCAUAAUUCGCCAAGUUCCUAACACAGGAUCCUCUCUCUAAUGAUCUCGCACAAGGUAAGCAAGUUGCAAGUAGAGAAUAGAAGGCAUUGGAUUAUAUAUUCUUUUCUUCUUUCUUUAUGAGUUGUAGAUUGCCUCAAAGGUCAUAUGUCAUCAUAUAAGGGUGAAAGCCGGGGUUCCACGUCGGCAUGGUCGUCCACCACGUGGCAAGAGACGAUUGGUUGGCAGGUGCUGGGUGUCCAGUUGUCUUUUUUUUGUUCUUCUUUUGUGGUAAAAAAACAGUAGAGUCCGGUUGUCUUUUUUUUUUUUUCCUUCUUUUUCUUUUGUGGUCAAAAAACGGUAGAGUUGUUGUUUGGUAAUGGGUUGUUGGGCUCAGAGAUUGGCCAAUAUUACAGUUGUACCCCUUUGGUGUUCACCUAUUUACGUUCCAACCUGUUAUUGUAUCUAUAGGAGUUCCCCUUUUUUGUUUCAUUAUCAAGGUGUGUUGGUAAUGUGGCUUUGGCAGAAAUUACGCUUCUUCUUUCUUCACCUUCCCACCGGAGCUCUAUUCUAUUAUACCAUACAGCUUCCUCUGAUGAGAGCGGUUCAAUUCUCAGUGGUGAAUCGUGACUUUUUUUCACUGCCUCUUUCUCCUUCUUCCUUGCUAUUUGACUUUCAUGUGGUUGUGUAUUUGUCGUACAAUUUUUACCUAGACUAUUUUCCCCCUGUGGCUGCUCCUGAAGCGGUGAAGCAGUGAUUUGGUAAUGUGGUCGUUGGGCUCCUAGCCCCGUUGAUAUUACCAUUUUAGCACUUCGCUGUGCUCUUUUUUACGCUUGCCCUUUUAUUGUAUUUAUUUGUUCUGCUGUUUUCUGGAGGUUGUAUUGGUAAUGUAGUCUUUAUUGCGUCUCGCUUGCUUAGCCAGAUAGUCGCCUUCUUGUUGGAGAAGGUGGGUGAACUGACUUUGUGUUCAGAAGCCGUACAUUUCGUCCACUGUUUCUUUCUGUUCUUUCCCGAGGAUUAGGUGCUUGCGAUGAUGAGAGCUGUUGGUUGUCCCCGUUACUUUUUCAAGUAUAUAGCUAAUUGGUAUGGUGGUGCCUGUUAUGUUGUUACUAGUCCUUCUUAUCGUUCACCACCCGGCAGUAUCAGGUGAGCCCUUCUGCUCUUUUAUGGACCUAUUUUACAUUUCCUUGUACGUUUCCCCCUUUUCUCUUCCAAUCUUUGGUUGUUACCAUUUCCAUAUCUUAAAUUGCCUUGUGGAUAUUUUGCUACAUAUAUGCUAUUGUUUAGCUUUACUUUGCGUUAUUUAUUUAUUGCAUUGAUUUCCUUUUCAUUGCCUUAGUCGUUUCCCUCCGCAUUUUGUCAUAAUUUUUUUGUUUAUUUGCCUUGCUUUUAUUGCUUUUUUUUUUUCCCUUCUAAGACAUUACUUGUUCUGCUUUAUUUUGUCUUAUGUAUGAAUAGUUCUUCAUUCACUGCUCGUUUCAUGCUACAGAGUCACUGCAGAUAGUAUAUCAUACUUAAAUAUUGGGGUUUAGGUGCACUGCAAUGCUUAUUAUAAAGGGUUGUUUUGCUCCCCUUUGAAGGAGAGAUGGUUUGACUUCUUCACUUAGUCUUCUGCAUUUAGUAUUCUGAUAUCAAGAGAAACAAAUGAUUUAGAUUUCUAUGUGAGAUGAUGCUUUACAGAGAUUUGGUGUGAAACAAAAGAAGAAGAUUGCUUCUUUUAAAACCUCAGUUGACGUACUCACGCUUUCAGCAACACCUAUUCCACGAACCCUCUAUUUAGCUUUGACUGGGUUUUGUGAUGCCAGGUAAUUUUUGCUCAUUAAAAUGAAAGGUUUCAGGUGCUAAAUUCUUGAGUAAAUUCAAAUUGAUGUGAGUUGAUAUUCUGCUAGGUCUUUUUUAUGAUCUUUUACUUGAUAGGUAGUUCCAGUCAAUGUUCUAUUAAACUAAUUAUCUCUAACCACUGCCUGGGCCACUGUUUGCUGCUUUGUCCUCAGGGGGUUGGGUGAGUCUUGUGUUUGUGUGAAUAGGAGGAGCUGGUUUUUGCACUCUGUUGUUUGUCAAUGGCGCUCCACUUGACUUUUUAACCAUAUGAAAGGAUAGAAGUACCCCUAUCUUUUGUCCCUUUACAGCCUGAGUGAAAAUGGAGUGGUGUAAUUACAAAGAAACAUAUGGGCUGGUGAUAUCAGCUAAUACCAUUUUGAAUAUGGAGUGGUUGUAUAGACUAGAAUAUGGGCUGGUGAUCUCAGCUAAUACCAUUUUGUUUGUGCAAGUUUUCUUGAAUGUGAUGUCCUUAUUUUUUGAUGUAUAUUUUGUUUCAACCUUUUGCAGUUUAAUAUCUACACCACCUCCUGAAAGAGUUCCAAUAAGAACCCAUCUUUCGUCAUAUUCUAAGGAAAAGAUGAUAUCAGCUACAAAGUAUGAGCUGGACCGAGACGGACAGGUUUUUUAUGUGUUGCCCAGAAUCAAAGGGCUUGAAGAAGUCAUGGAGUUUCUUGAAGAAUCGUUUCCAGAGGUUGAAAUAGCUAUUGCUCAUGGAAAGGUAAUUCAUUGCUUGAAGCGGAGAGCUAGACCUAUGACCACUUCGCUCAGCAUGGGUAAAAUACAAAACUACAAAGCACCAAACCACUAUUGAAACAAGACAAAGAGGGAUGCAUAUGAGGACAACGAAAGCACUAUGAGCCACUAACAAAGUUCAAGUAUAAUGACUGUCUUUAGAAGGCACAGAACUGGAGAUGGGAAGAAGAUUAACAUCACAGGGCCCCAGAAUGUGGUUUUGUGAGAAUGAAAUGUCUAGAUGCCAUUGUGUGGAAAAAUACACGAUUAUAUGAUGCCAUGUAGUUUAGGAUCUUCGGAUUGAAGUAUUGCGUGCAUUUAAUCCAUCCACAUGAAACAAACAUUGUCCUUUUGAACUUUUGUAAAUUCUGAAUUCCUGCGUAAAUAGGAUCUAUAGUAAUUCAGAUCUUGUUAAUUAUUAAU